rfam:Nicotiana attenuata strain TT chromosome 5, whole genome shotgun sequence.
AUACUAUGAUGUGGACACGUAGCCAGCCGACCCUUGAACCUCUCCCAUGUUUCUUGUAAUGCCUCUGUUGGUUUCUAUCUGAAGCUCAAUAUCUCAUCAAUUUGUUG